rnacentral:lncRNA from 1 species
CACAGUUCAGAGCAAAUUCCUGUGAGCCUUGUUUCUUACUUUUAUUAUGUAUUAACUAUAUGUUAACUAUACAUAUAUUUUGCCUUUUUGCUUAGUUUAUUAUAAUCUUGCAAUAUCUAUUCAGUCUAAUUGUGGUAGGAAGUAAAAUGUUCAAUUUAAUUUGCAUAUUUACAUGAAUGGAAAGAACUACAGUGGUUUUUUCCUCCUUAAAUGUGAUAUGCAGCUACAGAUGCUCUUUGUUAACAGAAUAAACCGCUGACAUCUUUACUGCAGGUCUUCUGUGAGUGCUACUGAUGUAAAGAACCAAAGGAUGAACUAUUUUCCAGAACUUUAGUGAUCAGCUAGUCGGCUCUGCAUAUUGUUUAAGAAACAUUCUUGCACUCUUUUUGUCCAAAAUGAUGAAUUUUCAAUAAAUAAAAUUAUAUUUGGUUUUCUGUUCCUGUGUUAACUUGCUUAGGAUAAUGCCCUUAUUGAAUAGGGAAUCCAGCAUCCAUGAUGGCUGUAGGAGUGUGGCUUUAUUUCUUUUUAUGCAGGACAUGAUUUCAUUCUUUUUUUUAUGGCUUCAUAGUAUUCCAUGAUUUAUAUGUACCACUUUUUUUUUUUUUUCUUUUCUGAGACAGAGUCUCGGUCUGUCUCCCAGGCUGAAGUGCAGUGGCGCGAUCUUAGCUCACUGCAACCUCCGUCUCCCGGGCUCAAGCUAUUCUUGUGCAUCAGCCUUCAGAGUAGCUGGGAUUACAGGCACAUGGCACCACAGCCAGCUAUUUUUUUUUAAUUUUAUUUUUAGUAGAGAUGGGGUUUCACCAUGUUGGCCAGGCUUGAAUUCAACUCCUGAGGUCAGGUGAUCCACCCGCCUUGACCUCCCAAAGUGCUAGGAUUACAGGUGUGAGCCACCAUGCCUGGCCUAUAUGUACUGCAUUUUCUUUAUCCAGUCCACUGUUAGUGAUUCUGUGUCUUUGCUAUUGUGAAUAGUGCUGCNNNNNNNNNNUUUUUUUUUUUUUCUUUUCUGAGACAGAGUCUCGGUCUGUCUCCCAGGCUGAAGUGCAGUGGCGCGAUCUUAGCUCACUGCAACCUCCGUCUCCCGGGCUCAAGCUAUUCUUGUGCAUCAGCCUUCAGAGUAGCUGGGAUUACAGGCACAUGGCACCACAGCCAGCUAUUUUUUUUUAAUUUUAUUUUUAGUAGAGAUGGGGUUUCACCAUGUUGGCCAGGCUUGAAUUCAACUCCUGAGGUCAGGUGAUCCACCCGCCUUGACCUCCCAAAGUGCUAGGAUUACAGGUGUGAGCCACCAUGCCUGGCCUAUAUGUACUGCAUUUUCUUUAUCCAGUCCACUGUUAGUGAUUCUGUGUCUUUGCUAUUGUGAAUAGUGCUGCAAUGAACAUAAGAGUGCAGGUGUCUUUUUAUUUAUUUUGGAUAUAUGCCCAGUAAUGGGAUUGCUGGGUUGGAUGAUAGUUCUUUUUUAAAUUUUUUGAGAAAUCUCCAAACUGCUUUCCACAGUGGCUGAACUAAUUUACAUUCCACCAGCAGUGUAUAAGCAUUCCCUUUUCUCUGCAGCCUUGCCAAUAUCUGAUGUUUUUUUUUACUUUUUGAUAAUAGCCAUUCUGACUGGUGGGAGAUGGUAUCUCAUUGUGGUUUUGAUUUGCAUUCCUCUGAUGAUUAGUGAUGUGGAGGAAUUUUUCAUGUUUGUUGGCUCCUUGUAUGUCUUCUUUCAAGAAGUGUUGAUUCGUGUCCUUCACCACUUUAUAAUGGGGUUGUUUUUUGUUUGUUGAAUUAGGUCCGUUAUAGAUUCUAGAUAUUAGACCUUUGUCGGAUGCAUAGUUUGCAAAUAUUUUCUCCCAUUCUGUAGGUUGUCUGUUUAAUCUGUUGA